AAGCUCAAGCGUCAACCCUGGCCCGUAACUGAAACGGGAUUUGGUUCAAUCUGCAGGAGACAACUCUGGAGGGAAUCCUUGGCCAAGAAAACCAAACCCAGAGAAGCGAGGGUUGGAUGCUCAGCGAAAAUAGCUCGGUGGCGUCUGCUAUUUACAGUCCGUCCACUCUCUACUAACGCACUGAGAGGAAGACGUCCUCGGAACGACCCUCCAACUUGCAGGGCCCUCACAUCUGUGGGCUGAGGACCUCGCCGGGGCACGCCAUCCUCCCCGACGAAGUCCAGCCGGCUCCUAGGGGCCGCCGGGCGGGAAGCGGGAACCUGAGGCCGCGGUUGAGACCCCAACUCCGGAAUGUGCUUCAAGGACUCGGGUCGCCAGCUCACUGCCAGCCGCGCGCCGAACGCCGCUCCAGCCCCGAUCCCUGCCAGUCCCGGCGGGGCAGUCCCACUCCCCUCACCUGGUUCGGCUGCUCUGCCUGCUCCGAGGACGCCAUCUUUCUGAGGCCUGACUAAUCGACCGCCGCUGGCCCAAGUUUCUCCCAAGAGCGCUCGCUCUCGCUCUCCAGGCCAGACCAAAGUAGAAGGACUUGAGCCUGUCGAUGGGGGCGGGCUCCAGGCCGAAAGGGUUGAGCCCCGUGUCCAAGUUACCUGGCUGUUUACGGGGAGAUCUGUAGUCCAUGUUCUUUAUUUUUAAUAGAUUAUCCUUUCUUGUGGUUUUACAUAGCUAAUAUGUUAACGUUGCGGUUUAGUCACAAUGCACUCCUAACUCCUCACUCGCCCCACAUACCCCACUAGGUGCCCCUUCUUUUUAUAUAUAAAUCUAUUUACAUGUUUGUAUAUUUAGGGGUUUUUGUUUGUUUGUUUUUGUUUUCUAGACAGGACCUCAUGUAGUUCAAAGUAGCCUCGAACUUUCUCUGUAGCCAAUUCUCUUUCAGGUCCUCCUGCCUCCCUCCCAGUGCUGAGAUUACAGGGUGUGUACCACACAGAGAUUUUUAUUACUGAAUUAAAUCUCUCCCUAUUUUCAGAGCACCACAGUCACAUUUAGGGACUAUUUAUUUAGUAAACACAUGAAAAUGGAAAUUAAAUUCUAGCCAUUCUGUACAGUAUUAUUCAUUGACUACCUACUGUUUCCCAGAAGUGUUCACAGGUACUAGAAAUAAAAAGAGUCAAUACUCUGCAACUUUCUCUUGAGAAGCCCGUAUGCACACUAAUGUGUAAUGCUUUCUCAGGCUCUCUCCUAAUGCCUGUGCUUAGUCUAUAUUACAGCUGAUUCCUUAGAUGACAUUGCAACUCAGUUGGUAGUAACCAUAAAAAACUGGAUUCUAGCACCAUAAAUACCUGAUGUGGUGGUCCACUCCUGUGAUCACAGCAUUUGGGAGGCUCAGGCAGGAGAAUCAUGUCAUUAUC